rnacentral:lncRNA from 1 species
CCCAGAAACUUCAUUAUAACUACAAAUUUGAUAAAAAUUUCACACUACAACACUUAUUAAAAACCAAAUGCAACACUGCAUGGGAAUCCAUCAUCAAAAAUGUAUUUCACAUAGGAUAAAAGAUGUAGAUAGAGAGUAACAUGUUUAUCAACCAUUAGCAUCCAUUGAACUAACGUUACAAGAAAAAGUUUUCUUUGGAGAAUAGUAUCUAAUUCCCUUGGGAAAAGGCGGUCAUUUGGAGGACAACUACAUGGAAAUCUUGCCCUAAAGAAAGACAUUUGUUCAAAGAGGUUGCUCAAAUAAAUCUGGGACACAUUUUUCCUCAGAGAAGCCAGCAUUAAUCAGGAGUGCAAAUGACAUAACCAUCAACCAAAGUAAUUGAUCAUCAUACAAGUUCCGCGCAAAAUUUGGAGAAAUGCCACAAUGAAGUGGCACACCUUCAAAUCUGACUGCAGAGUAAAAGGAGACCUUCCAUGCCUUCUGAACUUCAUUGAAAAGGAGGACACAUUGAUCAUUU